UUUCGAAUCAUUCACAAUGAGGGAAACCUUGAUGGUGCAACGCCGCGUGGGGGAUGAAGGCCUUCGGGUCGUAAACCCCUGUCACCAGGGACUAAAAGUACGGUUCAUAGCCGUACCUGAAUUAACCUGGAGA
rnacentral:rRNA from 1 species